UAUACGUAAGUGAUUUGCCGGUGGCAAUAUCUUAGGAUGCUUUUAAAUUUCAGUGACAAUUUAAGUCAUGACUCAUGCUCCCAUUUGGCUGGUGCUGGUGUCGAUACAGAUGGUGGUGGUAGCAUUAAAUCAAUAGAGUACAUAUACUAGCAGUAGUUAAAGUUGUGCAAUAAGUAUCCACUGCUAGUACGGAUACUUAUCCAGUUAGCAAUAAUAUGGAGACACCCUUAUAAAGGUGGUGAGUGCGGGUCGUGUAUAAACAAGCUUGAAGAAGGUCUGCCUGAAUCAAAUGGUUAUGUUUAUGUCAAGGAAAAUUGUGGCUGAAAUCAACGAAGGACAUUAAUUUGUUCUUAUUUCUCAAUCACCCUGUAAAUAUUUGUGAAAAUUUGCUGUUGAUUAGUAUAGCUCUGGUGUUGAUGUUGUCUCAGUUUGGCAAGUGGUGAAAAGGGGUUUAAAUUGGCCCCAUGUUGAUCGUUGGGGUUCAAGCUUAUAUAUGCUUGUAAUUGAGCAGUCACUAGUGAAGAGAGUGCAAUUGGUAAACUAGAAUUGAGUCUGAAUCAGUUGGAAGCUAGGGUCCUGCAGCUUAUAAUGGAAGGAAAGCACGAUGACACGAAGAAACUUGUGAUUGGAAAAUUGGUCAAGGAAAGGGCAACCGAUUCCGAGCUUUAGCUGGAUUUUACCCACAAGUUGCUUCUGAAUCCAAUGUUAGUGUUUCUAUCACCUUGCUUGGUCUGACUUUACGAGAAUGAAAUCUUUCGGCAAAGUUGAAGAGUUUGCGGAGACUCUAUUAAGUUAGUGAACUAGAUAGAAGUUGGCAAAAGGCUUCCAGGUGCAUCCGCAAGACUUAACGCAUGCGAAUUUCUCAAACAUAGGUAGAAGAUAACGGAGAAGAACAUGAAGAGCAUGGAACCCAAGAAGAAGACGAUGUUGAUGUCGAUGUUGAUUCUACAGAUGGUGCUGUUCUUGUCAACAGUAAUGAAGCUGAAGAAGAGUGGGAUACAACUAAUGAAGGAACCUUAUCAUCCUAAAAGCAAUUGGUUUGGAUAAAUAGGUCACAGAUAUGAGCAGUAAGUGCGACUAUUUACAAGGCUGGUUAUGAAGCAACAAGAAGUUAUACUUGUUUGAGCAUGUAGGUAAUGAAUGUUGAGCUUGUCUCCAGUCUUGUUCCUUUAAGAUUGUAUCUACUACUGCUAUUACACUUCACAUGACAACUGCAACUGCAGAAUUUCUAUGUUUUGAAAACUUAGGGAACGUUUACAUAUUUGUCAUUUUUUUGAUACUACACACAGAAUUUGUAUGU